GUCCGGAGUUAAGAUGGACUGUCGUCAUGCGAUUGAGCCUCGAGUAAAGUCAUCGCAGACUCCUGGCCUCACUGUGGACUCCCAGCCUCAGCAUGGACUCCUGGCUUCAAGGUGAAUCCAAAGCUGAUUCCUGGUCUUGAUAGCCUCAGGUGAAUCCCAGGGCAUUCUGAACGUGAGGCCUGGUGCAGUCUGGAGGUGAGACCCAGCGUGGUCGGGAGGCAAGGCCCAGUAUGGGCUGGAGGCUAUGGAAAAUCAAUAAACAGCUUAAAUCUUGAGAAUGGAAGAUUCCCUGCUGUUGCACACAGCCAGCCCCAUGUUGUCCAUGGGAUGCACGUGUACAUUCAGAUAACUAGAGAACGGCUCUGUAAAAAUAAAC